AGGUAGAGUGGGCUUGUCUGGACAUGUUGGGGUGUAGUUGAUCAGAUGCACGUCCUUCUAUCGCAAGUUCCGCCGCCUGAUAUCGCCCGACGGCAAGUUUUGUCGACUGAUGUCCUCCGACCGCAUGUCCUACGGCUGCGUGUCCUCCUCACUUUCUUCCAGCACUAACUAGGAUUUGGAUGCAGUGUAAGGAGUGCAAGUUCUCGCACCCUAAUCAGGAUAUUCUCCUCAAGCAUUACCGACUUUGCCACUACCGGGGACGCUUCUGGCCACUGCCGUGCCUGUACACUGACUGCUGCUGCACUUUCAAAACAAGCGAUAUAUGCUGAGUUUUUUUGAAUCACUCAAGUGGAUCUAAAGAAGACAUUCUUCACAUCUUUGGAUGCACACGCCUCAAACCUGAUAAAGCUUUACAGAACACGUAGCGGGACACUAGGAAAGGACUUAAAGGCCCUAUUUGACAACCUUGAUGAACAGACAACCAAUGUGCUUGCACAAAGGAAGGCCACAGCUCUCCGAGGUCUACCUCUCUAUUUGAG